GGGGGAUAAUAAAAGGAGGAUAAAGGAGGAGGAGGUGGGGAGAGGAGGAGAGGGGAGGUGUAACAGUUCACUAUUCAUCCUGGUCUGUAUGUGUGUUGUAGAUAUAGAGAGAGGAAGAGGAGGAGGAAGAGGAAGAGGAGGAGGAAGAGGAAGAGGAGGAAGGUGGCAGCACUACUUUAAUAUGUGGAAGUUGGAAGAUUCAGGCUUAAAGAUUGUAGAUGUCAUUAUGUGAGUUUAAACAAUAAAACAAAAAAAAAACCACAGAAGAAGAAGAAGAGCAGGUUAGAGGAGGAGAGUUAGAGGAGGAGAGGAGAGAAGAAGAGCAGGUUAGAGGAGGAGAGAAGAAGGAGAGGAGGAGAGGAGAGAAGAAGAGCAGGUUAGAGGAGGA